rnacentral:lncRNA from 1 species
CUGAUUCUGAGACUAAGGUUCAUUCUGUUAUGCUGUCCAAUUAAAGAGAGAUAAUAUAUCAUUAAAAACAUUGCUUAGUCUAUAUAUCAUCUUUCUGGGCUCCAAAUUCAAUGUGGGGUGCGGAGGAUAAAGGUCUCAGUUUUCCUCUCCAUUCACCACACAAACUAGGCACAGUGUCUUUGAAAGGUCUGGCAGAAUUUUAAAUAUAAAAGGAUCCAGCCUCCUCAAAAGGAGCCGUAGUGAAGGCAAGAAGCGCUGGGUGAUUGUCUUGGCUCACUCAACAAAACAAAAAGACAUCAUUUUUCCACACCGGUGCAUCUGUCAUGAUCCCUGGAGAAAGAGUGGAACAAGGAGGGAGAAGGAAGAAAGAGGCAAUGGAAUGUGGAGAAACUGCUCCCAUAAUGAGCAUGAACAAAAA